AGUGAACGCUGGCGGUAGGCCUAACACAUGCAAGUCGAACGGCAGCACAGUAAGAGCUUGCUCUUACGGGUGGCGAGUGGCGGACGGGUGAGGAAUACAUCGGAAUCUACUUUUUUCGUGGGGGAUAACGUAGGGAAACUUACGCUAAUACCGCAUACGACCUACGGGUGAAAGCAGGGGAUCUUCGGACCUUGCGCGAUUGAAUGAGCCGAUGUCGGAUUAGCUAGUUGGCGGGGUAAAGGCCCACCAAGGCGACGAUCCGUAGCUGGUCUGAGAGGAUGAUCAGCCACACUGGAACUGAGACACGGUCCAGACUCCUACGGGAGGCAGCAGUGGGGAAUAUUGGACAAUGAGCGCAAGCCUGAUCCAGCCAUACCGCGUGGGUGAAGAAGGCCUUCGGGUUGUAAAGCCCUUUUGUUGGGAAAGAAAAGCAGCAGGUUAAUACCCCGCUGUUCUGACGGUACCCAAAGAAUAAGCACCGGCUAACUUCGUG
rnacentral:rRNA from 1 species